rnacentral:SRP_RNA from 1 species
GCUGAGCUUUUUAACGCGAGCUUGUAACCAAGUGGAGUAUUAAGGUGUUUGGAUAAUUUGGAACUGAAUCUAAGGUUGGCUUGUGAACUAUAUCUGGUCUGCCAACUUUCCAAGUUGGGUAGUAAAUCUUAUGUGUUGAGCUAAAGUUUAAAGCAUAUUGUUCUUAUAAUUGAGGGUAAUGCGUGAGGCUGUCUUCACAGAGCAGCGAUUACCUCAUUCUCUCAACGGUGGAAGGAUAACAGAUCAAACAUUUUUAUUUUUUUAUCAAAUGAAAACAUAUUU